rnacentral:lncRNA from 1 species
CAUUGUGGCCAUUAUGCUGUUUUGGCCUAGCUGUGCUGCCAGAAAACCAUCCAAAACAAAUCAUGGCAAUAUAAAUCAUCCCCACAAAAUCAAAAACAACGUAUUCCAGACAUUCUGAGUCAUAAGACCCCCAUUCCAGACAAGAUCCUGCCAAAUACCAGAAGGAAGGAAUCCUGUACGGUAAGGCCAAGAAGAAUCGCCUCAUACUAGAUAGACACGUUUUCUGAAGAACCUCUCAGGCAGUUACAAUUACAAGCCCACAAAUUAAUUAACCCAGUGCUGUAACACACUAGAUACAUGACUAUCAAGCUGAGAAGAA